rnacentral:rRNA from 1 species
AGACAUCUGUGAAUCGCUUCACGACCACGCUGAUGAGCUUUACCGCAGCUGCC